GACGAACGCUGGCGGCGUGCUUAACACAUGCAAGUCGAACGUGAUUUUUGUGGAAAUUCUUUCGGGAAUGGAAAUGAAAUGAAAGUGGCGAACGGGUGAGUAACACGUGAGCAACCUACCUUACACAGGGGGAUAGCCGUUGGAAACGACGAUUAAUACCGCAUGAGACCACAGAAUCGCAUGAUAUAGGGGUCAAAGAUUUAUCGGUGUAAGAAGGGCUCGCGUCUGAUUAGCUAGUUGGAAGGGUAAAGGCCUACCAAGGCGACGAUCAGUAGCCGGUCUGAGAGGAUGAACGGCCACAUUGGAACUGAGACACGGUCCAAACUCCUACGGGAGGCAGCAGUGGGGAAUAUUGCACAAUGGGGGGAACCCUGAUGCAGCGACGCCGCGUGAGCGAAGAAGGUUUUCGAAUCGUAAAGCUCUGUCCUAUGAGAAGAUAAUGACGGUAUCAUAGGAGGAAGCCCCGGCUAAAUACGUGCCAGCAGCCGCGGUAAUACGUAUGGGGCGAGCGUUGUCCGGAAUUACUGGGUGUAAAGGGAGCGUAGACGGUUAAACAAGUCUGAAGUGAAAUGCCGGGGCUCAACCUCGGAGCUGCUUUGGAAACUGUAGAACUGGAGUGUCGGAGGGGUAAGCGGAAUUCCCAGUGUAGCGGUGAAAUGCGUAGAUAUUGGGAGGAACACCGGCGGCGAAGGCGGCUUACUGGACGACAACUGACGUUGAGGCUCGAAGGCGUGGGUAGCAAACAGG
rnacentral:rRNA from 1 species